rnacentral:ribozyme from 1 species
GGUUAUUAACCUCUCCAAAUGAGAACAUUAAAGCGCUCUCUUCUUUUAUUCUUCUAACUUUUGCUCGAGACUCUGCCCCAAACAGACAAUCCAUCCUCGGAUUAGGCGGUGUUCCUGCUUUUGUUACCCUUCUUCGUCAUCAUGACGCUCAAAUCAAAGUCAAAAGUGCUGAAGUUAUCU